AGAAUCAACGCUGGCGGCGUGCCUAACACAUGCAAGUCGAACGAGAAAGUGGAGCAAUCCAUGAGUAAAGUGGCGCACGGGUGAGUAACACGUGACUAACCUACCCUCGAGUGGGGAAUAACCUCGGGAAACCGGGGCUAACACCGCAUAACAUCUACGGAUCAAAUGCGUAAGCAGCUUGAGGAGGGGUCGCGGCUGAUUAGCUAGUUGGCGGGUAAUGGCCCACAAGGCAGUGAUCAGUA
rnacentral:rRNA from 1 species